CAAAGAUUUAUCGCUUAAAGAUGGGCUCGCGUCUGAUUAGCUUGUUGGUGAGGUAACGGCUCACCAAGGCGACGAUCAGUAGCCGUACUGAGAGGUAGAACGGCCACAUUGGGACUGAGACACGGCCCAGACUCCUACGGGAGGCAGCAGUGGGGAAUAUUGCACAAUGGAGGAAACUCUGAUGCAGCGAUGCCGCGUGAGGGAAGAAGGUUUUCGGAUUGUAAACCUCUGUCUUAAGGGACGAUAAUGACGGUACCUUAGGAGGAAGCUCCGGCUAACUACGUGCCAGCAGCCGCGGUAAUACGUAGGGAGCGAGCGUUGUCCGGAAUUACUGGGUGUAAAGGGAGUGUAGGCGGGAUGGUAAGUUAGGUGUGAAAUGCGGAGGCUCAACCUCCGAGCUGCACUUAAAACUGCUGUUCUUGAGUGAAGUAGAGGUUGGCGGAAUUCCCAGUGUAGCGGUGAAAUGCGUAGAUAUUGGGAGGAACAUCAGUGGCGAAGGCGGCCAACUGGGCUUUUACUGACGCUGAGGCUCGAAAGCGUGGGGAGCAAGCAGGAUUAGAUACCCUGGUAGUCCACGCUGUAAACGAUGAUUACUAGGUGUGGGGG
rnacentral:rRNA from 1 species